AAGCUAUUGAUCUAUACACACAAGCAACUGAAUUGAACAAUGAGAAUAUUGCAUAUUGGGCUAAUUGUGUGCUUUCUCGCACUAAAUUGGAGGAAUGGCAGAACAACACAGGACACACGAAAUAAAUAGCUAUUGAAUUGACUCUAAAGAUUCAUAAAUUAAUUUUAUGUUUUAUACUGAAUCUAGUCUCUAAAUAAAUUAGUAUCUGGUACAACUUAAGAGUGGGAGCGAGAAAAAAGUGCGCUGAAACACACAUUAAGAAAAUUAAAAAAUAAAGUUGAAAGAUAUAUUUUCUCUAAACCUCAUCAGGCAUCAAAUGUAACAAUUAAAAUUCUUAAAAAAUAAAACAAAAACUCUUUGUUUUAAAACAUAUAUAGUGUUGUGCCCUAGCAGCAACUUUGUGCAAAUCACUACUCUCAACUAACAUUCAGCAAAGAAUGGAGUUUGUAGUAGUCACGGCAGCUACCCCAAGACAGAGAAAGCACAACAGUUCGCCCAAAUCUAUUUUCGUCUUCUCUAAUCUUGGGCAUGCCAUUAUUAUCGAACAUGCUACUUGUUGAGGGAAAAGUCGGGAGACUGAUUCUCCUUUGCUAUCCUCCAUGUAUAAUUUCUUGCUAUUCAAAUUUAUUCUCACACCAUAGUAGUAUAGUUGCUUUCUCCAGGCACUAUUUAUACGGGAUGAGAACAAAGACUUCCAAACCUUACCAUGUCUUCUAAUUGAGGAAAGGGAGUGAUACCUCAGAAUUAUGUGGUUCUUGAGAAUAUGAAAGUUAAUACUCUAUAAAUGAAGUUAUAUAGUACACCCAAAGAGAUGAGACAAGUAAAUUUUUUCUUAUCUAUUUAGAUUUUAAGUCAACUUCUUGAUUGUUUCUGCUAUUUCAUAUUAUGUUUCUUUUACAUUUCUCAAGUAUUUGCAGAUUA